rnacentral:rRNA from 1 species
UAGGGAAUCUUCGGCAAUGGGGGGAACCCUGACCGAGCAACGCCGCGUGAGUGAAGAAGGUUUUCGGUUCGUAAAGCUCUGUUGUUAAGGAAGAACGAGUGUGAGAAUGGAAAGUUCAUGCUGUGACGGUACUUAACCAGAAAGGGACGGCUAACUACGUGCUAGCAGCCGCGGUAAUACGUAGGUGGCAAGCGUUGUCCGGAAUUAUUGGGCGUAAAGCGCGCGCAGGUGGUUUAGAAAGUCUGAUGUGAAAGCCCACGGCUCAACCGUGGAGGGUCAUUGGAAACUGAUAAACUUGAGUGCAGGAGAGAAAAGUGGAAUUCCUAGUGUGGCGGUGAAAUGCGUAGAGAUUAGGAGGAGCACCGGUGGCGAAAGCGGCUUUUUGGCCUGCAACUGACACUGAGGCGCGAAAGCGUAGGGAGCAAACAGG